CAGGGAGUUCUUGAGGCUGAGUGCGUAGCUUCAAAUCCAGCACUAAUUCCUCACCCCCUGGCCUGAGGUCUUCAUAGAUUGGUGGCUUGAGCCCUGCAAUUAAUUAUAAUCCCUUGCCCACCUUGAUGUAAGGCAGGAAAGCAGAUUGAAAUGCUCCUCUCUGAUGGGCAAGGGGAAUCACAGCCCAUAGAUGUACUGCACCUUCUGUACUACAGGAGCAGAACCUGAAGCUGCUUCCAAGGCUCUGGACACUUGGCACGCAGGGCUAGAGGCCAAUGGUAUAUGAGCGGCCUGUGGGGUUAUGAAUAGCAGAACAGACUGGUGCUGUCACAGCCCACUCAUACCACACCUUCUUGGAAUUGCUGCAUCGCCAGAAACGCACACAGAUGGUUUGGCCUUCACGUACCGUUAUGGGCUGCUGUAAGAAGAAAGACAGGAAGGUUCAGGGUGAAGCUAUGAAUUAUACAUGGCAAUGUAUUAAGGCUCGGACCUCAUUGUACAGCUUGGAGGAAGAGAUGGGAGCCAGAAAGGAAGUGUACUCCCCGGGGAUGCUCACACCAUCAUCUGCACAGCAGGAGAGUCAAAUUAGUUCCAGAGGGAGGGAAAUGGUAUGUCUGUACUAACUGAAGGAUCAGAAGGAUCAAACCUCCCAUGUCAAAACCAACCAACGUUGGCAUGGGCAUGGAAGAAAGAGACAAAUGCAUGUUGUCACAUUACUAAGCCAGCCUGCUUCCAACUACUGUCAUGGAGGAUUCCACUACUAGGUUAAUUUACAGAGUCACACAGAUUAAAACUGAAAGAACCCAA
rnacentral:lncRNA from 1 species